UACGGGGGGGGGCAAGCGUUUGUUCGGAAUUACUGGGCGUAAAGGGCUCGUAGGUGGCCAACUAAGUCACACGUGAAAUCCCUCGGCUUAACCGGGGAACUGCGUGUGAUACUGGAUGGCUUGAGUUUGGGAGAGGGAUGCGGAAUUCCAGGUGUAGCGGUGAAAUGCGUAGAUAUCUGGAGGAACACCGGUGGCGAAGGCGGCAUCCUGGACCAAUACUGACGCUGAGGAGCGAAAGCUAGGGGAGCAAACGGGG
rnacentral:rRNA from 1 species